rnacentral:rRNA from 1 species
ACGGAACAGGCAAGCGUUGUUCGGAAUCACUGGGCUUAAAGCGUGUGUAGGCGGCUCGGUAAGUACCGUGUGAAAUCCCCCGUCUCAACCGGGGCACUGCUUGGAAUACUGCCGGGCUUGAGGUGGGGAGGGGUACCUGGAGCUCUAGGUGGAGGGGUGAAAUGCGUAUAUCUCUAGAGGAGCGCCUGUGGCGAAGGCGGGGUACUGGGUCUAACCUGACGCUGAGGAACGAAAGCGGGGGUAGCAAACCG